GCGCACCCGUGGCGCAACUGGCUGACGCACACGGCCCAGACCCGUGGCUUUCGGGCAUGAGGGUUCGAAUCCCUCCGAGCGCA
rnacentral:tRNA from 1 species